rnacentral:rRNA from 1 species
CAGUCGCCACGGUAAUACGGAGGGAGCUAGUGUUGUUCGGAAUCACUGGGCGUAAAGCGCACGUAGGCGGCUAUUCAAGUCAGGGGUGAAAGCCCGGGGCUCAACCCCGGAACUGCCUUUGAAACUAGGUAGCUUGAAUCUUGGAGAGGCGAGUGGAAUUCCGAGUGUAGAGGUGAAAUUCGUAGAUAUUCGGAAGAACACCAGUGGCGAAGGCGGCUUACUGGCUCAUUCUAGACGCUGAGGUGCGAAAGCGUGGGGAGCAAACAGGAUUAGAUACCCCCGUAGUCCCUGUCUCUUAUAC